UCUGGUUAAUUUCGAUAACGAACGAGACCUUAGCCUGCUAAAUAGGAUCGGGAACCUCGGUUCUCGCAUCACUUCUUAGAAGGACUUUGCGUGUCUAACGCAAGGAAGUUUGAGGCAAUAACAGGUCUGUGAUGCCCUUAGAUGUUCUGGGCUGCACGCGCGCUACACUGAUGCAUGCAACGAGUUUUUGACCUUGGCCGGAAGGUCUAGGUAAUCUUUUGAGUAUGCAUCGUGAUGGGGAUAGAUUAUUGCAAUUAUUAAUCUUCAACGAGGAAUGCCUAGUAGGCGCAAGUCAGCAGCUUGUGCCGAUUACGUCCCUGCCCUUUGUACACACCGCCCGUCGCUGCAACCGAUCGGAGGGUCCUGUGGACUCGAUGGACAGCCCAUCCCCUUCUUGGGGUUGGGCUGGAAGUUGCGUAAAUAGCGCCCUCUAAAGGAUGCAAAAGUCGUAACACGGUUUCCGUAGGUGAACCUGCGGAAGGAUCAUUC
rnacentral:rRNA from 1 species